AAAGGCGUUGGAGAGCGUGGUGGCCAAGGUGAUGAGCGCCAACAAAGCAACCAGCAGGACUUUCCAGGGCAGGGCGAUGGAGUCCUGGUAAAUGUAGCCGUCGGCGCUGCAGUUGUGGGAGAGGUAAAAUCGUCAUCGAAGACUCCAGCACUGAACAACCCUUUCCUGUGUAGCGAUAACCCAUAGCCAGGCUCCUCUCAAACAGCCUCACUAUCUCUGAAAGUUGCAUUUCAAAGCAAAACUCCUGCAAGUACCAUUUACAAGAAGGAUCUACGCGAGGCACAAAGCAAAUCUCAAGCAAACUGAAACUGACAGUUAAUCAAAAAAGAUGAUUAAGAAAAUAACCGUAAUCAAAGGAAAUAACUUCUCCAUCAACAAUCAGCAUACGCCACGACUGCAAGCUCCUGCUGCCUGCACCUCCUUGCCAUGAUGGACUGUACCUUGAACCCUGUGCUGAAAGAAGCCUGUUCUUUCAUAAGUUGCUUUCAUCAGAGUAUUAUGUCACAGCAACAGAAGAGAAACUAGGACAGCAUAAAUAAAAUUACAUUUCAUAAAUUUGCCAGCACCCAAAUCUAACUCAACCCUCCCAAGUAUACAGAGCCAUGUUCUAUCUUGUCCUUGUCAAAUACCCCUGUCUUUCUCUCAGGUACUUCCAAAGGCUGAUGGCUGACACCUUGGCAACAAAAAUGUAUAACUACAUUGUCUUGGUUCAUUCUUCACUCAGUAGAUUAUUGCUUUGGAUCCUAAAUGCCAAUAUUUUUUCUGUAUAUAUUAAAUGAAAAGGUCUAAGACAGUGAUGACUUCUCUUGUUAGAAAAGUUUACUUUUCUGCCAAAUGUAUACUCUAUUUUCAGUAUUAGAGUAUGCUUUUAUUAUGUCUAUUUUUUUCUCUACUACCGCUUGACUAUAACAGACUAGUUAUGUGAAUUUGUCCUAACGUAGUAAAUUUUAAGGCUAAAACUUUGGGCUGUGGUGAGUUCUCAGAUCAUUGUCAGUUUGUUUCCAAAAGGAAUAUGAGACCCCAGUUCUCUCUUAUUCUUCCUUCUGCUUCUUAAUCACGAGGUAAUGCAGUUUACCAUUUGCCCCAUCUUGGUCCUCUGGCAUCCUUAUCUCUAGUCCAAAUAUAGGUUAACAAAAUCUUAGAAUUUCCAAUCCAAAAGCAUGAGCCAAUAUGCACCUUUCAUAUUCAUUAAUCAAUCAUUUAACAUUUGGGUUGUUAUAGUAACAAGAAGCUAACUAACAAAGUCCCUUCAUGUCCUGAGAGAGGUAUCAUAUAUUUUUUUAAAAUGUUUUUUUGGUGUUAUUUUCAUUAUGUUUGCAUUUUAAGUAUGAGUGUGUAUAGAAAAUUGGCAUUUAGUUGAGUAAGAUUGCUGAGUAUUUUGAGUCAUAAAAAUUGGGUUGUCAUUUGUUUU
ensembl:antisense D430036J16Rik RIKEN cDNA D430036J16 gene